GUAUCACUCCAGCCAAUCAAGUUAAACAAUGUAUUACCUGAAAACAUAAUUAUAUAGUAUUAGCAUUAGUUGAAUUCAAAAUUUUUUUCUUUCCUCAAAAGAAUUUCCCCCUCCAACAAUAAAAAAGAUAGUUGCUUCUUAAAAUGCAGUAAAUACUAAGUUGCCUACAAAAACAUUCACUAUACUCACAGGUUUCUGUUGGUGUCACUAU